rnacentral:rRNA from 1 species
CAAUCCUGGUGGCGAGUGGCGAACGGGUGAGUAAUAUAUCGGAACGUGCCCAGUCGUGGGGGAUAACGCAGCGAAAGCUGUGCUAAUACCGCAUACGAUCUCUGGAUGAAAGCGGGGGACCUGCAAGGGCCUCGCGCGAUUGGAGCGGCCGAUAUCAGAUUAGCUAGUUGGUGGGGUAAAAGCUCACCAAGGCGACGAUCUGUAGCUGGUCUGAGAGGACGACCAGCCACACUGGAACUGAGACACGGUCCAGACUCCUACGGGAGGCAGCAGUGGGGAAUUUUGGACAAUGGGCGCAAGCCUGAUCCAGCAAUGCCGCGUGCAGGAUGAAGGCCUUCGGGUUGUAAACUGCUUUUGUACGGAACGAAAAGGCUCUUUUUAAUAAAGAGGGCUCAUGACGGUACCGUAAGAAUAAGCACCGGCUAACUACGUGCCAGCAGCCGCGGUAAUACGUAGGGUGCGAGCGUUAAUCGGAAUUACUGGGCGUAAAGCGUGCGCAGGCGGUUUUGUAAGACAGAUGUGAAAUCCCCGGGCUCAACCUGGGACCUGCAUUUGUGACUGCUAGGCUAGAGUACGGUAGAGGGGGAUGGAAUUCCGCGUGUAGCACUGAAAUGCGUAGAUAUGCGGAGGAACACCGAUGGCGAAGGCAAUCCCCUGGACCUGUACUGACGCUCAUG